GCCCUCUUGGUCUCCAAGCCACUUGUGGGUAGAUCUGAAUGGCUUUCUGAAUAGAGCUGCUGCACAGAUGUGGAUGAUCGCAGAGCUGAAGGAUGAGGUCUCAGAGAUGGUUAUGGUGGUAGAAAUGAGGCCACUUAUCUCUGCAGCCUCAUCUCCUAACACCUACACUCCAGCCAGCCCAACCUUUCUCUUCCUCUUCUGUACCAAGCUUGUCCCAGCUCAGGGCUUUUGCCCCUCUGCCCGGGGUACCCUCUGUUCAGAAGGCUCGGUCUCCACAUCACCACUGUGGCUGCCCCUUUCCUCCAUUUGCAUCUUGGCUGGAAUGUCAUUUCCUCAGACACACCCUGCCUGACCAUCCUGCUAAUGGUGCCUUGUACCACUCCUGUUACUCUCUCAUGGGAUUUCUUUUGUUCUGGGUCCUUAUCACUACGGAAAAUCUUAAGUCUUUGUUUCUUCUGUCUAGCCCCUUGAAUGGAAGCCCCAGGAGAGCAGGAUCCUGUCUGUCCUGUUCAGUGCUGUAGCCCCAGAGGCUGGAGCAGAGGCUGGACAUUCUGAGUGCUCUGUGCCUAUUUGCUGAAUGAGCAUCUUGCCUCGCCAUGUGCGGGACCACUUCUCUGGGAUGUAGAUUUUCUUUUCCUUGUUUUACAGGUGAGCCAACAGAGGCCCAGAAAGGCUGAGUGACUUGUUCAAGAUCCCCUCGCCGGUGAGAAGGGGACCCUGGGUGGUGGUGGAUUCUGAAGACAUGUGGUUUUUACUGGCUGAGGCUCAGCUGGACCACCCACACAUCUGUUUCCAGCCUGGGGGCCCUUGGAUCUUCCGUGAGACCGAGAUGGCUCCUGAGUCAUAAGUGAUGUCACCUCCAUCCAAGCCUCCUGGAGCAUUUUGUUAAAUGAACCUGGGGCAGCGCCUUCCAGAACAGUCUGACUCUAGGUUUGCAACUCAAAAUUACACUAUACCAUGGGACCUAUGAGAUGACUUCUGUCUAGAGGACAAGGCAGACCCGUCCCACCAAGAUAGGGCUAAGUCACUCAUCAGAACACACGUCUGAAUUAUUCCCCUGAACUUUAUGAAGACUGCUAAGAUCAAGUCUUACUAAGAAUGAUUAAAUAAACAAACAAAAACCUGACUUCUUUCCAGUGCCAGUUGAAUGCUCUUUCUUGAGCACAAGUAGCAAAAAAUGAAAAGAGAAAAGCAAAUCAUUCCCAACAUGGGGCACGGAGUUUCCCUGGUCUUCUCUAGUCCAUGUUCUCAUAUCUUCCUAAUUCCUCUCUCCCUUUUCCCUCCCUCUCCUUCCUCCUGCUUCUCCUCCCAACAAAUGAAUUUGUAAUCAUCAGUUAGCAAUCCUCAGGAAAAUCUUCAAGAGGAAGGCGGUGUAUUGUGAAGCAGGAAACAAGGACUCUGAUAUCAGAGAGACUUGGGUCCCAGCUCUGCCAUCUCCUGGCUGUGUCAUCACAGGUAAGCUACUGAACCUUUCUGAGUCUCAGUUUUCUCUUGUA